GACGAACCGUGCGAACGUUAUUCGGAAUCACUGGGCUUAAAGCGCGUGUAGGCGGGCGGGUACGUCGGCGACUGAAAGCCCCCGGCUCAACCGGGGAAGGGGUGCCGAAACGGCCGGCCUGGAGGGGCGUAGGGGGACCUGGAAUUCCUGGUGUAGCGGUGAAAUGCGCAGAUAUCGGGAGGAACACCAGCGGCGAAGGCGGCACUCUGGGCUGGAACUGACGCUGAGGCGCGAAAGCCAGGGGAGCAAACGGG
rnacentral:rRNA from 1 species